UCCGAGUUGACCCCGGCAGUCUCCCAUGAGUCCCCGGCAUAACCCGCUGGCAACAUGGGACAAGGGUUGCGCUCGUUGCGGGACUUAACCCAACAUCUCACGACACGAGCUGACGACAGCCAUGCACCACCUGUCACCCAGUCCGAAGAGGCACCUAUCUCUAGAUGUUUCCGGGUGAUGUCAGACCCAGGUAAGGUUCUUCGCGUUGCGUCGAAUUAAACCACAUGCUCCGCUGCUUGUGCGGGUCCCCGUCAAUUCCUUUGAGUUUUAGCCUUGCGGCCGUACUCCCCAGGCGGGGCACUUAAUGCGUUAGCGCCGGCACGGGAGGAGUCGACACCUCCCACACCUAGUGCCCAUCGUUUACGGCGUGGACUA
rnacentral:misc_RNA from 1 species